AUUGAACGCUGGCGGCAGGCCUAACACAUGCAAGUCGAACGAGUGGCGGACGGGUGAGUAAUGUCUGGGAAACUGCCUGAUGGAGGGGGAUAACUCCUGGAAACGGUAGCUAAUACCGCAUACCAUCAGAUGUGCCCAGAUGGGGUUAGCUUGUUGGUGGGGUAACGGCUCACCACGGCGACGAGCCCUAGCGGGUCUGAGAGGAUGACCAGCCACACUGGAACUGAGACACGGUCCAUACGCCUACGGGAGGCAGCAGUGGGGAAGAUUGCACAAUGGGCGAAAGCCUGAUGCAGCAAUGCCGCGUGUAUGAAGAAGGCCUUCGGGUUGUAAAGCACUUUCAGUGGAGAGGCGUUACCCACAGAAGAAGCACCGGCUAACUCCGUGCCAGCAGCCGCGGUAAUUC
rnacentral:rRNA from 1 species